CUAUGCGCCUUGCCAGCCCGCUCAGGUGUGCCAGCCGCCGCGGUAAUACGUAGGGAGCAAGCGUUGUCCGGAAUUACUGGGCGUAAAGGGCGCGUAGGUGGGCGCUUAAGUCAGGUGUGAAAACUCCGGGCUCAACCUGGAGACUGCACUUGAAACUGGGUGUCUUGAGGGCAGGAGAGGAAAGUGGAAUUCCUAGUGUAGCGGUGAAAUGCGUAGAUAUUAGGAAGAACACCAGUGGCGAAGGCGGAUUACUGGACGACAACUGACGGUGAGGCGCGAAAGCGUGGGGAGCAAACAGG
rnacentral:rRNA from 1 species